AUACGGGUUCUGAAUUAUCGUCCAUCCUUUUAUCAUAUGAUGCCAAAAUGUCAGAAAUUCAUCCGGAAAACAAGCGCUAAAUGUUUCAAGCUUGCCCCACAACGCAAAUCAUUUGAUGAUGAACUGAAUAUUCCACGAUAUGUUUUCCAAUGGAACUGGUAGUAAUCGAUUACGACGCCAUUUGUCAUAAACGUUUGCGAAUUGCAACUGGGAGAUGGAAGAAUUUCGUUGGUGGCAAAGACAUUUGAAAUAUCGGAUAUCUAUACGUUCUGCAUAAUUAUCGGCCUGAAAAAUACGACGACCAGAUGCUCCCGCAAAUCUAACAAGAUUUGGAUUUCAUCCCGAUUAUGCUGAUGGCGGCCUUCAAAAUUAUAAGCUGUAGGUGUGUUGCCGAGAAAUGUAUCCGGUUGUUCGCAGAAAGAAAAAUGUAUCCGAGGAACGCAGUCGGCAGGAACACCAACCAAAUGCAGGAACUACAACCGGUGCAAACGAUGGAUUUUUUUACCCCCCUUUAGUGGCAUUGACGAGCUCGGUAACGAGAGCAGCAAUUGUACAACAAACCCUAUUGAUUGUGAUAGAUACAAAUAAACAACAUGUGUGUUAUAAAU